rnacentral:lncRNA from 1 species
CGGGGUUCUUCGUUUUCCUCAGACCUCAGCUGUACGUGAUCUCCGUACCGAGAGAGACGACGAUGAUGGAGCGAACAGAACAGACAUCCAGGACUUCGGCCGAUUAAUUCCUAGUACUUUACUGUGCACUGACAGUCGGGUUCUUAUGAGGCUUGUUUUCAGUUCCAUUUGUUCUCUGAUAUUCGUCACACAAACUAGCGCAGCGAGAAG